GGGGAAUAUUGGACAAUGGGGGCAACCCUGAUCCAGCAAUGCCGCGUGUGUGAAGAAGGUCUUCGGAUUGUAAAGCACUUUCGACGGGGACGAUGAUGACGGUACCCGUAGAAGAAGCCCCGGCUAACUUCGUGCCAGCAGCCGCGGUAAUACGAAGGGGGCUAGCGUUGCUCGGAAUGACUGGGCGUAAAGGGCGUGUAGGCGGUUUACACAGUCAGAUGUGAAAUCCCCGGGCUUAACCUGGGAGCUGCAUUUGAUACGUGUAGACUAGAGUGUGAGAGAGGGUUUGUGGAAUUCCCAGUGUAGAGGUGAAAUUCGUAGAUAUUGGGAAGAACACCGGUGGCGAAGGCGGCAACCUGGCUCAUGACUGACGCUGAGGCGCGAAAGCGUGGGGAGCAAACAGGAUUAGAUACCCUGGUAGU
rnacentral:rRNA from 1 species